AACGAACGCUGGCGGCAUGCCUAACACAUGCAAGUCGAACGAGACCUUCGGGUCUAGUGGCGCACGGGUGCGUAACGCGUGGGAACCUGCCCUUAGGUUCGGAAUAACUCCCCGAAAGGGGUGCUAAUACCGGAUAAUGUCUUCGGACCAAAGAUUUAUCGCCUUUGGAUGGGCCCGCGUUGGAUUAGCUAGUUGGUAGGGUAAAAGCCUACCAAGGGGACGAUCCAUAGCUGGUCUGAGAGGAUGAUCAGCCACACUGGGACUGAGACACGGCCCAGACUCCUACGGGAGGCAGCAGUAGGGAAUAUUGGACAAUGGGCGAAAGCCUGAUCCAGCAAUGCCGCGUGAGUGAUGAAGGCCUUAGGGUUGUAAAGCUCUUUUAACCGGGAUGAUAAUGACAGUACCGGGAGAAUAAGCUCCGGCUAACUCCGUG
rnacentral:rRNA from 1 species